rnacentral:misc_RNA from 1 species
AAGUCGUAACAAGGUUUCCGUAGGUGAACCUGCGGAAGGAUCAUUAAAAAUUUUAUCGGAACCUAAAGAUUUUUUUUGUCUUUUGGGUCUUCUCCGAUUAAAAAUUUGUUGUGCGCGCACUGUUUCGUUUCUCCUUGGCAGGGGCUUUGGUUCAUGAGAAGUAAAAUUCUCUUUUUCCAACUUUCGCACCGGCUCCAUCCCUAUUCUUCUUUUUUGAGGUUUUGGGACAGCUGGCGUGUAAAGCUGUUUCCCUGCCGAGGAAAUUCAUAAAAACACGCCUUUUUGCAAAAACCUUUUGUCUGAAAAAAUUUUUUUUGCGAUUGCGAAAGGCACGCAUAAAACCAAAUAUAACUUUCAACAACGGAUCUCUUGGCUCUC